AUGUCAUGGCUCGUCCACGGCAUCUUGCUCGGAGAUGUUUCCCUGGUCCUUGUUGAGAACAAGACUGGGAAGGAACAGAGCAGGAAGCUCUGGCACUUUGAUCACAGAAAAGGAUUGGGGGUCUGGCAGAAGAUGGUCAGGCCUCUCACUGAUGUAUCAGACAGGUUUUGGCUUCAGAUUUUCUCAUCUUGGAAAGUUGGAUCAAAAGCCAUAAUUGCUUUCGAUAAUGUGUCAAUCAGCCUGGACUGUUACCUUACAAUCAAUGAAGAGAAGACAUCUCAAACCAACAGUCCAGACCCAGGCAAUUUGGUCACUGAUAGAGGCAGGAGAGAAGAAGACGUUCCAGGAGGUCCAAAACUAAAUGAAACAUUUAGCCUAACAGAUCACUGGCUAUUUACCACAUGUGGGGCCAGCGGACCUCAAGGGCCCACCCAAACUCAAUGUAAUGAACACUAUAGGAAUUCCAACCUCAGUGUUGUGGUAGGGACAGAGCAAAAUUUCCCAGGUGUUCAGAUUUGGAGAGUGCCUGAAACCAAUACUUACAGAAUUUCAGGCUAUGGGGCAGCUGGUGGCAAAGGAAAGAACACCAUUAUGAGGUCACAUGGUGUAUCUUUGGUGGGGGUAUUUAAACUCCAGAAGAAUGAUACUUUGUAUAUUUUGGUGGGGCAACAAGGAGAAGAUGCCUGUCCUCAUGCCAAUGGGAUCAUACAGAAAGUCUGCGUUGGUGAAAAUAAUGUGAUUGAAGAUGAAAUUAAGGCAAAUAGGAGCAUCCAUGAAUGGGCAGGAGGAGGUGGUGGUGGUGGAGGAGCAUCUUAUAUAUUUAAGAUGGAGAAUGGAAAGCCAGUCCCCUUGAUCAUUGCAGCGGGAGGUGGUGGCGGGGCCUACAGGCCCAAAGCAGAUACAUUUCAACAGGAAAAGCUGAAGAAUGAUACAUCAGUCCCAGGGCUUAAUGGGAAACCAGGAGCUGCAGGUGGUGGAGGUGGCUGGAACGAUAAUACUUCCUUCCUCUGGUCGGGAAAAUCCUUGCUGGAAGGCGCUUCCGGAGGAAAAUCCUGCCCCCAGGCCACGAAGAAGUGGGGGUGGGAGACAAGAGGGGGUUUCGGAGGGGGUGGAGGGGGGUGCUCCUCAGGUGGAGGAGGCGGAGGAUAUAUAGGUGGCAAUGCAGCAGAACAUAAUGAUCCAGAGAUGGAUGGAGAGGAUGGUGUGUCUUUUAUUAAUAAUCAGUAUGGCUCACUGUAUACACCAGCACUAAAAGUGACAGAUGGGCAUGGAGAAGUUGACAUUAAGGUGCAUAUGAACUGUAGCCACUGUGAGCAUGACAUAUGUCGCAUGGAUAUGAAGACACAGGAGGUUAUUUGUAUGUGUGACCACGGAUAUGUGUUGACUGAUGAUGGCUCAUGCAGAGAUCCAGAUAUAGUGAUACCUCCCACGAAGAAUCCCUCUCUCUCCUUGGUCUUGUCUGUAGUGACUUCAGCCCUAGUUGCUGCUCUCAUUCUAACCUUCUCAGGGAUCAUGAUAGUGUACCGCCGGAAACACCAGGAACUGCAAGCCAUGCAGAUGGAGUUACAGAGCCCCGAGUAUAAACUGAGCAAGCUGCGCACCUCCACCAUCAUGACCGACUACAACCCCAAUUAUUGCUUUGCAGGAAAGACCACUUCCAUUAGUGACCUCAAAGAGGUGCCCCGGAAAAAUAUCUCUCUGAUAAGGGGUUUGGGCCAUGGAGCUUUUGGGGAGGUGUACGAAGGUCAAGUGGUUGGGAUCCCCAGCGACCCCAGUCCCUUGCAAGUGGCUGUCAAAACAUUGCCAGAGGUUUGUUCAGAGCAAGACGAACUGGAUUUCCUCAUGGAAGCUCUUAUAAUCAGCAAGUUCAGCCAUCAGAAUAUUGUGCGCUGCAUUGGGGUGAGCUUGCAGGCUCUACCACGCUUUAUUCUGCUGGAGCUCAUGGCUGGAGGAGACCUGAAAACCUUCCUGAGGGAGACGCGGCCGAGACCAACUCAUCCCUCCUCCCUGAGCAUGCUGGACUUGCUUCAUGUGGCUCGUGACAUUGCUUGUGGCUGUCAGUAUUUGGAAGAAAACCACUUCAUUCACAGAGACAUUGCUGCUCGAAAUUGCCUCCUGACUUGUAAAGGUCCUGGGAGAAUAGCUAAAAUUGGAGAUUUUGGGAUGGCCCGGGAUAUAUACAGGGCCAGCUAUUAUAGAAAAGGAGGGUGUGCAAUGCUGCCAGUCAAGUGGAUGCCACCUGAGGCCUUCAUGGAAGGGAUAUUCACAUCUAAAACUGAUACCUGGUCAUUUGGAGUGCUGCUGUGGGAAAUAUUCUCUCUUGGAUAUAUGCCCUACCCCAGCAAAAGUAACCAGGAGGUCCUGGAGUUCGUAACAAGUGGAGGAAGGAUGGAUCCACCCAAAAACUGCCCUGGCCCUGUGUAUCGAAUAAUGACCCAGUGCUGGCAACACCAGCCCGAAGACAGGCCAAACUUUGCCAUAAUACUAGAGAGGAUUGAAUACUGCACCCAGGAUCCCGAUGUAAUCAACACUGUUUUACCUGUGGAAUAUGGUCCAUGCAUUGAAGAAGAUGAAAAGGUCCCAGUGCGCCCUGAAGACCCUGGAGCAAUGCCUCCUCUAUUAGUGUUGCCACAGCAAGACAAAAAGGGUGCUGAGCCACUUCUGCCUUCCCCAACCUCUCUGGCAUUAGCCAUCUCGGCAGGAAACCCUCUGGUGAAAGCACCUGCUGUUGAACCAUCGGUCCGUGCUAAUACACAGGCACCUUCGGAAGGAGGCCAUGUCAACAUGGCAUAUGCCCAAUCCAAUCCCACUACAGAGCUUCAUAAAGGCCGGGGCUCCAGAAACAAGCCCACCAACCUCUGGAACCCGACGUAUGGCUCUUGGUUUUCAGAGAAUCCAGUUGUCAAGAACAAUUCACAGGUGGAGAAAGAGGCAACUGAGAGGGAAGGUUCAGGGCAUGAAGGAAACUGUACUUUGGGGCCCAGCAUUGUGACUGGAAGGCUACCAAGCUCCUCCCUUCUUCUAGAACCAUCUUCACUGACGGCCAGUGUUAAGGAAGUGCCUCUGUUCAGGCUCCGCCAUUUCCCCUGUGGGAAUGUUAACUAUGGAUACCAACAGCAGGGCUUGCCCUUGGAAACCUCCGCCCCACCCUUGUGCCAGCAGUUACGAGGACCUUCCCCUUAGGAACAAAACCUAUGUCACCCACCAGGGGCCUUGAAAGCUUCCCAACUCUCUUCCCGUAUGACUCGUGAGCCUUGGAGCAAACUUCAGUGUCAGCCAUGCAGUGAGCACGAAAACAGAACAAGAGUCCCUUCCAUUAUGUGCCAAUUUGCUCUGAAGUGCCACCCUUUGAAGCUAGAUUUUCCAUUUGUCAGAGCCCCUUCCUACACCUACACACACUCACAUGCAAAACAGCCCUAAGACAACAUUCAGUAUUAUCAGCAAGGCCCAGCUUCUUGCAUAAAAUCAUCUGCAUGGUUGUUCGCUGUGCCUUUCCCUCUGCGCUGCUUCUUCUCGGUUGUUUAUGCGCCAUUUCAAGACUUAUCCAAAUGUUUAAUGUUGGGGGAUUUCCUAUACUGCCAGAUGCAACCCAUGGGAGCCUCUCAUGUCAGAGAUUUGAGGGUGAGAGAAUAAAUUGGAUUCAGGCCACAAAAGAAAUGGAUCAUGCGGUGGACUCCCAGUGGGCACAGUCCCACGCAGCGUUGUGACUACAACAUGGCCCUUCCACAAACACACAAAGCUAUGGUACCAUUGGCAGGGCAGCAGAAACAGGUCGAUCCCAUUGCAUUUGUAACGGAGUUGGAAAAUGUAACAUGUUAAGGAGCAUGAUGACAAUCCGUGAGCUAUAUCUUGGCGAGAAGGAUACCAGCCAAUAUAUAUUUACGGCUGUCUAAAGAACCAGAAGAAGGGACAAGUGCAUUCUCUUUUCCCUUCCACAAUGCCGUCGUCACCAAGAGCCACCCAGCUCCACAAUGCUUCAGACAUGCUGCCAAGGCAGAUUCCAGAAGCAGCUCCAAGUCUUUCAUUGUUGCAUCUUCUGCAUCCAAAGGAGGCAAGACAAAGACGCCAUCAGUUAUUGAUACCAGGCUGCCAAGUGCCCUCACCCUCGUAGGUAACCAUCUGUUGACUUUUGUGGAUUGGUGGAGAGAGAUAAUCACAAAUAGCAGAUGCAAAGAGGUGGAGACUCUAGGGCACACCCUGCAGCUCUCUAGCUAUCCAGCAUCUACUGGACUGAAAGGCCACUGAACCAUUUAAACAGCACCAGAUUUACUCUGAGGACUAUUCCCAUUUCCCUUGGUACCCAAGAAGAACUGGAGGUGUCAGGCUAUCCUGGACCUGAAAAACUACUUCAGAAUUGAAAUACGUCAGUCAGUCAUUGCAGCCAUAGAAUGAAGGGAUUUCCUGACAUCUGCUUGCCUGAUGGAAGCCUAUCAUCUACACAUCCUCAUCCAUCCAAUUCUUAGAUUUUUUUUUUUUUCAGGUUGCCUGCAAAUCACAUGACACUACCAAUACAGAGCACUACCAUGUGGUCUCUCACUGGUGCCCAGGGUUUUCACCAAGAUGCUUGUGGCCUUGAUGGUGCACAUGAGACUUCAGGAAGUGUUCCUCUACCCAUGAUUUGAUUACAUUCUCAUCUGUUUGUAAUGAAGCAGAUGAGACCAAGGUGACCUCAGCAUCCAGAAGAUACAGCUUUGUGGUCCAUAGAAAAGACUACCCAAUAUCUAGCAUAUAUGUUAGGCCACCUCUGAGUCUUGUUGGCACACAACCAGAUUCUGCACAUUCCUGUCACAGGAGAAGCAUGAAAAGAUUUUCAACCUGACCAGGAGAGUUAGGUCACCACCACAGAUAGAGGAGCUGAUCUUAGCACAGCUGCUGGGUGUGUUGGUGUCAUGCCAAGAUAAAGUGGAACUUCCACAGGAGUUAGCUACAAAGCAUUUGCCAACCUUCCCAGGACAAAAUAGCCAACAUUCUUCUUCUACCUUCCAGCAAAACAAGAUCAGCACAAUGGCCUUUUUGAUACACCAGUGGACAGGUGACUGGUGCAGGUAGUGAUCCUGGUGGUUCUGGCCAAAGCGAAAGAGCAUCACAAAUGCAAGUCACAAAGACUGGGGGAGACCAGGUGGUUCAGGGCAUUUGAGGCAAGAUCAAAUCCAAUAGCAGCAUCAGUUGGCUAGACCUCCAUGUGGUGAAAUAGACUCUUUGGAUAUUCUAAUCCCAUCUCAUCACGUACUCAACUGACAGACAAGAGAUCAGCAAAGUCAUACAAAACACUGUGUAGAGGCAAAAUCUUUUCUCUGGCAGCCAUUUCCUUGGCUAGAAGGGUUUUAGAGUUGGGGGCACACUCCUCCAAUCCUGAGCUGUGUAGCUUCAUAAGGAAAAAGUAGUCCUGCAACCAAAUCCAGCCUUCUGGCCAAAUGUCAACUACUUGUUUCAUAGGUCACAGGAAAUGGUCUUUCCUUCUUUCUGCCCCUACUUGGUGCAUCUCAAAGAGAAGAGCAGGAACCAGUUUGGAUAUUAGAAGGACCUUGAUGGGUUUUGGUUUUUUUGCAGGGGGCAGGACAACAGCAUCCAGAAAACCAGAGGCUAUUUUAGUUUCUGUUCAGGCAUUGUCACGGGAGAAAGUGUUUUUUAAGAUGACACUUUCUAGAUGCCUUUGUGAUGGUAUAGAACUGGCAUAUAGGACCUUGGGAAGCACACCUCUGGCAAAGAUCAUGGUAUGUUCUCUGUGGGGGGCUCCUGCAACAGCAGGUUUUUUGGGAUGGUUGCCUUUUGACAAGAUCUGCAAGGCAACUAGUUCAAUGCAUACUUCUAUACAAAGCACUACAAGAUUGAUGUACUGUUCUCUUCAGAUGCUGCAUUCAGCAGGCAGUGUUUUCAAAGGGUUCUUUUAAAAAAUGGUUUCAACCUUCUCUUUGGACACCUGUUUUGAAAAAUACUGCUUUUCUGUGCCCCGCAGAAUGGGAAAUGUCCCACUUCCUCUACUAGAGAAAAGGGGAAAUUUCAAACUAUAAAUUCCUGUUUCUUGGGGGAGGAGGGGGACAUUAUGCUCACCAUCUUUGGUUCCAGGUGAUGACAGCUCAUUCCUCUGUGUAAUAGAGUAUCCUGGAGAUAUGUUCCUGCUAUUCACGCCCGAUGUCCUUUGUUCUGGGUCUAUAUAGCAGAUUGUAGAGGUUGGUUUUUUAAAACACAAUUUUUUCCUCUAAAGUAUAAUUAUGAUGAAAUUCAUCAGCCAUUCAGAAAGCUUUUUCCUAUUUCAGUUUGUGAGCUAGGAGGCCCCACCUCAAUAAAGGAGACAAUUAGCAAGGUGUCCCCACCUCUUAUGUAUGAAGGGUAAUUCCAAACUAUGGAGAACAGGGGUCUGUGGUAAGAAAUUCCUAUUCCCCAUCACUUGAGCAGAAGUUAAGGGCUGCUUUUAAGGUAAUAUUUUAUGUUGACGACUUACCAUGAAACAUACUCAAGGAGAAUGCUAAAAGCAAAUGGGUUUUCAAGAAUACAGAUAUGAUGCAUAUUUAUAUACCACUUUUCAACAAAAGAUCCCAAAGCACGUGUGUGUGUGUGUGUGUGUGUGUGUGUGUGUGUGUGUGAGAGAGAGAGAGAGAGAGAGAGAGAGAGGUUUAGUUUAGUGUAUUGUAGUUGAGUUUAAAUGGCUCCCUGUCUCCUAAGGACUCGCAAUCUAAAUAAGAAACACAAGAUAGAAACCAGUAACAGCCACUGGAAAGAUGCUGUGCCUGGGAUGGACAGGGCCAGUUGCUCUUCCCCUACUAAAUAAAGGGACUCACCAGUUUUAAAAGGUGCGUCUGCUCAUUUUGCAGAAAGCCCAGAGCAGAACAUGUAGAUGUUGCUGGCAGAUCUUAUAAUAAUCUCAGCACCAGAACUUUUCACUGGCUGACAUCCUGACUACCAAAGCACACCUGCAAUCAGGGAGUGCAGGGAUGCGACUGGCGCUCAUGCACAACUCCCCCAAUCCCCUCUACAGCUGUACUGAUGUGCUGAUGCAGAAAUGUCCUUGUUGCUAUGCCCGUGAUGGCCUUCAGUGCCAUGUUUCCUCCCUUCCAGAGUGCAUGCAGCUCGGGGACAUUUCUACUACUCCUGCAACAUCACACAUGCAGAUAGGAUAGGGAGUGUUUAUGCACGCGCCAGUCACAUCCCUGCAGUCCUGCUUUACAUAUGCUCUUCGGUAGGGAGAACAUCAGCCACUAGCUUUAUUUGUCCCCAUUAUUUACAGCAUGUCGGUUUAUGGAACAGCAGAAGAAAGCCUGUUGUUAAGAGACAAGCAAUGGUAGGGGAAGCCACAGUAGGGAAGGGAAUUAAUUAGCCAUGGCACCAUGAGAAGUAGAGCAGAAGCAAGAAAGCUGCUGACAUCCCUUCUACUUCCCUCCUGUGCUGCUGGAAGGAUGGAAAAGAGCCAACGACAGGAGUCCACAUGCUAAGUGGCAGACAAACUGUAAAGCACAAGCGGGUAGUUUGUGGUAACCAAUUGGCAUCGUGUCUCCACUUUUCCAGCCUGACUCAAUGUGUGAUUACUCUACAGCAAGCCCCACUGAGGUCUGUGGGACCUUAGCCAAGUAAGCAUGCAUAGGAGCACAACCCUACCUAAUGUAGCGCUGGAAACAUUUUGUCUGUCACCCUAAUUUUGCAAAGGGACUCAGUUUUGCUGAAGCAUUGCCCCCUGGACAUUUUGCAGUGCAUGACUAGUCAGGCUGCCGUAUGUUAGGAAUUUCUCCCCAGAAUUGCUCCCACUGGUGAGGCCAUCAGCCUAAGCCUUGAGAAAGUAGUCGCAUUUCAGUGUUCUCUCACAUGUGCAUAACCCCACACGUGGAGGAUCAUGUCUAUGCCCCUCUGCUCCCAGCAUCUCCUCCUGUAUCAAGGCUUUAUCAUUAGGAAUGUGUGUCACAUUUGUACAGAAGCUUAUGCAACAUUGCUCAUAAAUGAAGGGCCUAUGCAUUUCAGGGAUCCUUAUCAAGAUUAAAAAAAAUACUAAUAUAUGGUCAUUAAGUAUUUUGUAUCGUAUUUGUAUUGUAAUCAAGUGUAGUGAAGCGAAAGGCAUGAAGACAAAUAAAAUGAUUGUAAAGGAAGUCCUGUGAUGGGCUGUGCAUUAUUCUCUCUGCAGUAUAUCACCACACCAAUGAGCCUUGUCUU